GGAGGGUGCAAGCGUUGUUCGGAAUUACUGGGCGUAAAGAGCGCGUAGGCGGCUUCUUAUGUCAGGUGUGAAAGCCCUCGGCCCAACCGAGGAAGUGCGCCUGAAACUGAGAGGCUUGAGUACGAGAGAGGAGGACGGAAUUCCCAGUGUAGAGGUGAAAUUCGUAGAUAUUGGGAAGAACACCAGUGGCGAAGGCGGUUCUCUGGAUCGAUACUGACGCUGAGGCGCGAAAGCGUGGGGAGCAAACAGGGAUUAGAUACCCUGGUAGUCCACGCUGUAAACGAUGGAUAUUAGUUGUUGCGGGCUUAUAAACUCGCAGUGACGACGCUAACGCAUUAAAUAUCCCCGCCUGGGGAUUACGGCCGCAAGGUUA
rnacentral:rRNA from 1 species